rnacentral:rRNA from 1 species
GAUGAACGCUGGCGGCGUGCCUAAUACAUGCAAGUCGAGCGAACGGACGAGAAGCUUGCUUCUCUGAUGUUAGCGGCGGACGGGUGAGUAACACGUGGAUAACCUACCUAUAAGACUGGGAUAACUUCGGGAAACCGGAGCUAAUACCGGAUAAUAUUUUUAACCGCAUGGUUCAAAAGUGAAAGACGGUCUUGCUGUCACUUAUAGAUGGAUCCGCGCUGCAUUAGCUAGUUGGUAAGGUAACGGCUUACCAAGGCAACGAUGCAUAGCCGACCUGAGAGGGUGAUCGGCCACACUAGAACUUAGACACGGACCAGACUCCUACGAGAGGCAGCAGUAGCGAAUCUUCCGCAAUGGGCGAAAGCCUUACGGAGCAACGGCGCGUGAGUGAUGAAGGUCUUCGGAUCGUAAAACUCUGUUAUUAGGGAAGAACAUAUGUGUAAGUAACUGUGCACAUCGUGACGGUACCUAAACAGAAAGCCACGGCUAACUACGUG